ACGGGGCGCAGCAGGCGCGAAACCUCCGCAAUGUGAGCAAUCGCGACGGGGGGACCCCAAGUGCCAUUCUUAACGGGAUGGCUUUUCUUGAGUGUAAAAAGCUCUUGGAAUAAGAGCUGGGCAAGACCGGUGCCAGCCGCCGCGGUAACACCGGCAGCCCUAGUGGUAGCCAUUUUUAUUGGGCCUAAAGCGUUCGUAGCCGGUUUAAUAAGUCUCUGGUGAAAUCCUACAGCUUAACUGUGGGAAUUGCUGGAGAUACUAUUAGACUUGAGGUCGGGAGAGGUUAGAGGUACUCCCGGGGUAGGGGUGAAAUCCUGUAAUCCCGGGAGGACCACCUGUGGCGAAGGCGUCUAACUGGAACGAACCUGACGGUGAGGGACGAAAGCUAGGGGCGCGAACCGGAUUAGAUACCCGGGUAGUCCUAGCCGUAAACGAUGCGGACUUGGUGUUAGGAUGGCUUUGAGCCGCCCUAGUGCCGAAGGGAAGCUGUUAAGUCCGCCGCCU
rnacentral:rRNA from 1 species